GGAGGGGUCACCUUCUCUGUAAGAGGCAGCCCUGACUGGUCGGUUUGAUUCUCGGUGCUGGCACGAAAUAAAGCUUUGCUUGACCCUCGCUUUGUAUCAGUCUCACUCCUUUGAUCACAGACCCAGAACUGGGGGCUUGUCCAGGAUUAAAUGACAAGAACUGAGCCAGCAUCAGAGUUUCUGGGAAAAGUCUCUGGAGGAAACAAGAAGAUCACCCCCUGGACCUAACACCCCCCAACUCCGGAACUUCCCACCUAGGUCUCAGGUAAACAUUCGAAGUGGAGUGGGUCCAGGUGGAAUGUAAAUUGGUAUUUGAA
rnacentral:lncRNA from 1 species